ensembl:lncRNA
GCAGGGACAUCCCAGCACUGGAGCUGUCACCACGGGCAGGGACACAAAGUCCUGGUGUCCCCCAUGGUUCCAGAGGGAGGGAACGGGCCCUGGGUGUCACCCUCCAGGGCAGGACAGGGCCAUGGUGUGUCCCCAGCACUGCCAGCCCAUCCACAGCCCCAGUGUCCCCCGGGAUGGCUCUGUCCCCUCAAAGCUGUCACCUCCCAUUGCAGGACAGUGUCCCCAGCACUGCCAGUCCAUCCAGCACUCCCAGGGCUGGCUCUGUCCCCUCAAAGCUGUCACCUAUGGAGCAGCACAGGGCCAUGGUGUGUCCCCUUCACUGCCAGCCCAUCCACAUCCCCAGUGUCCCCAGGGAUGGCUCUGUCCCCUCAAAGCUGUCACCUCAAGGGGCAGGACAGUGUCCCCAGCUCUGCCAGCCCAUCCAGCACUCCCAGGGCUGGCCCUGUCCCCUCUGAGCUGUCACCCUCCAGAGCAGGACAGGGCCAUGGUGUCCCCAGCACUGUCAGCCCAUCCACAGCCCCAAUGUCCCCAGGGAUGGCUCUGUCCCCUCUGAGCUGUCACCUCCCAUUGCAGGACAGUGUCCCCAUCACUGCCAGCCCAUCCAGCACUCCCAGGGAUGGCUCUGUCACCUCUGGGCUGUCACCCAUGGGGCAGGACAGUGUCCCCAGCAUUGCCAGUCCAUCCAGCAAUGCUGAAUUCCUGAACAUCCCCCGAGCCCCGGGGGGAUCCCGGAGCGAUCCCUGAACAUCCCGGAGCGAUCCCCGANUCCUCGGGGAGGGGCAGCCCCAUAAAUCCUCCCUGGGUGACGCUCACUCCCCGUGGGUGCUGCUCCACGCUGCUGCUGCUGCUGCUCCGUCCUUCUGCAGCCUCUUCGUGGCCAAAAUUGGUGCCAAAGCCUCCCCCAGGAGCUGCCGUGCCCGGUUGGUGCCCCCCGAAGCGGGCAGGGGGUGCCAGGUGAUGCCCUCUCCUCAUCCGCUUCAGCCUCAGCAGCACUUUGCUGCUCUGACCUCGCAUCCGCCCCCAAAAACGGGGGGAAAACAACUGCCCUUCCCAAGGGGUGCCCCUGUGCCAGGGGAUGAGCUCCUCAAUCCAGAGGGAAACGGGCAAAACCUUGCGGGAGCCCAAAAAGCAAAAGAAAAAACCCCAAAUUGUGGAGAGAGCAAAAGAAAAACCCUAAAUCACAGAGAUAGCAAAAGAAAAACUCCAAAUCGUGGAGAGAGCAAAACAAAAACCCCAAAUCGUGGAGAAAGCAAAAGAAAAACCCUAAAUCACGGAGGAAGCAAAAGAAAAACCCCAAAUCGUGGAGAAAGCAAAAGAAAAAACCCCAAAUCACGGAGAUUUCUGCGAGAGCACCACCUGCCUUGGCCUCAGCCCAGCUCUCGGCACCUCCGCCGUGGGGUCGUGCCGAGCUUGGCACCCCCUCCGUGCCAGGCAAACCCAGCUGGUGCCACCCCAGGAAGGCUGGGGCACCCCAAUGAACCCCCUGAGGUGUUCCCAUGCCCUGCGAGGAGAGGAGAAGCAGGGCAGCGGGGCAGGGCAGUACUCACCACGGAGGCGAGAGCUCCUUUCCUCUGGGACCGAGCCCCGGCGCCCUGGGUAUAAAUACCGGCGGGCCCGAGGAACCUCAGAGGCGGAUCCGCUCUAAACAAAGACCCUAAAUAGGCUCAGUGAUGGUGUGCCGGCCAUAUGGCCAUAUAAGGUGUUUUAUUUCAUUAAAUUGACCUCGGGCCGGCGGUGGGACCCG